rnacentral:lncRNA from 1 species
GUCGUGAGUUUGAAAAAUUAUAAGAGUAAUGCUUCUAUACUUUUUUUUUUUUUGGUUAUCGUUCAUUCACGCUAAUUCAACGGCUCAGAUUUAGGUUUUUUUAAAUUGUGACCUGCAAUAGCAGGUCACUUUGAAAGAGGUACCGGUUACCAGGUACCUCAAAAAAUAAUAUUUUUGUCUUUUAAUAUAUAAGCAAUUUAGUCAUUUUACAUCUACUAUAUUUUCAAAAUUUUUAUUUUUUCUUUGUUUCCUUUUUCUCUCUCUAUCUUUCCUUUCAUAAUUUGACAUUUCAUAUAAGAAAAAUUUCAAAUGAUUUGAUAAUAUGAUCAUUGAAUUUAAACUUUAAAUAGUAAUAUAAAAUUCCUCUAAUUUAAAUUUCACUUUUAAAUUUUAAGUAUUUAAUUUUUAAAAUUUAAAUUCAUCGUAUUUAGAAAUAAAACUAUUUCUAAAAUUUCUAUAAUUUAAAUUAAUGCAUAAUUUGAGAAACACUAAAACAUUUAAAGUAGAUUCCUAAAUUAAUGCCUAAUAAUUACAUAAAUUUGGUUAAUCAAUUAAUUUUCUAAAUUAGUGCUAAUUAAUGCAUAAAUUUAGGACCUUAAUUAAAAGUUUCUUUAAAUAUUGUAUUAUUUAAUUACCAAACUAACCUGGAAUAAAAUAAUUCUUUUACCUGCUAAGUAUUAAAGUUACAUUAUUACCCUCUAUUAAUCAACGGUUAAGAUCUUUUUUUUUUAAAAAAAAAGUAUCGAAUUAUUUCUCAAAUUAUAAAUUAUAAAUUU